ACUUCCGCUUCCUUUCUCCCCUGGUGGCUGGAGCCUGAACGCCGUGUGGCUGGCGUGCUCUGCCCGUGUGUUUGCGGCAUCCACCGCGCGCGCUCAUUGACGUCGCACAGUGGCUAAUCACUGAUCAGUGGUGCGGUGGUGGCCGGGCGGCGCUGCUGGAGGUUCUCCUGGAUGCGCUCUCGUCUCCGGAAGGUGCUGUGGGUGCAAGGAGCAGUCGGCUUUCCUGGUGGUGGUAUUUCCUUCACAAUCCCGUUUUUGGAUGGUGUGCAGUGUCAUGUGUGGUCUAGUUGUGGACCACCCC